CUUGUCUAUGUUAUUAAGUUGAUUACCAAGAGUUUUGACGGAUUAGAAUGUUGGAAAUGACGUUAUAACUACGAUAUGUUUAUUGAGUUGAAAUUGUAAUUGUAAUAACCCAUAUUUUUUUUAGGCUUCGUUGGUAAUUUAAAUAAAAGAAGGAAAUAAAAAAAUAUAUAUAUAUAGAAGAAUUAAGUGGUACAAAAUAAAAGAAAAGGAGGAUUAAAGGGUCCUAAAAAAAGGGGAAAAGAGAUGUGGGCCAAGCCCACAAAAAGAAGAAAAAGAAAAUAAAGAGAAAAAGGAAUAAAAGUCUGAUGCAUCAGACGUGAAAACAGAAAACAGAAACGAUAGAAGCAGAAACAAGAAAAAAAAAACGCAGUAGAAGGAAGGGAAGAAAAAGAGGGGAGAAAAAUAAGGAUUUUCAACCCAAAUCAUCAAGUUUGAGGCAAUCCGGAGACCCCAGAACGCAGUUUUGAUUUUUUUUUUGGGAAGUGUGCUUGAAUUGUGAAUUUGAGACACUGUCGUUGAGAACGAGGCUGGUAAUUGAAGACUUCGUGAGUGGAUUCUGUUGCUGAGGUGAGCCACCGCAUUGUUCGUGGAGGCAGCCAUUUCAGCUUUAUCUGGUUUAUUUCUAGUUAUUUCUUUUAUUUUGGGUUUACAUGCCCGACACUCAAACUCAUGUAACUCUGUUAGAUGCUCCAUGGUCUUAGCGUGGGAUGUGGGCUAGAGAUUCUUUUUAUCUUAGCGUUGGUUGAUUUUCAUAAAUCGAUUAUGGAUUUGGUUGGCGACUAUUUCGCAUUUUUAUCAUUAAUAACGUUGUUGGACCUGCACU